rnacentral:rRNA from 1 species
UGGGGAAUAUUGGAGCAGGCAGCCACUGUCCAGCAAUGCCGCGUGUGUGAAGAAGGCCUUCGGGUUGUAAAGCACUUUUAUCAGGAGCGAAACGCUGUCGGCUAAUACCCGGCGGAACUGACGGUACCUGAGGAAUAAGCACCGGCUAACUUCGUGCCAGCAGCCGCGGUAAUACGAAGGGUGCAAGCGUUAAUCGGAAUUACUGGGCGUAAAGCGUGCGUAGGCGGUUUCUUAAGUCUGCUGUGAAAUCCCCGGGCUCAACCUGGGAAUGGCAGUGGAUACUGGGAGGCUAGAGUGUGUCAGAGGGUGGUGGAAUUCCCGGUGUAGCGGUGAAAUGCGUAGAGAUCGGGAGGAACAUCAGUGGCGAAGGCGGCCACCUGGGACAACACUGACGCUGAGGCACGAAAGCGUGGGGAGCAAACAGGAUUAGAUACCCUGGUAGUCCACGCCCUAAACGAUGCGAACUGGAUGUUGGUCUCAACUCGGAGAUCAGUGUCGAAGCUAACGCGUUAAGUUCGCCGCCUGGGGAGUACGGUCGCAAGACUG